rnacentral:rRNA from 1 species
AUUGAACGCUGGCGGCAGGCCUAACACAUGCAAGUCGAACGGUAACAGGAAGCAGCUUGCUGCUUCGCUGACGAGUGGCGGACGGGUGAGUAAUGUCUGGGAAACUGCCUGAUGGAGGGGGAUAACUACUGGAAACGGUAGCUAAUACCGCAUAACGUCGCAAGACCAAAGAGGGGGACCUUCGGGCCUCUUGCCAUCGGAUGUGCCCAGAUGGGAUUAGCUAGUAGGUGGGGUAACGGCUCACCUAGGCGACGAUCCCUAGCUGGUCUGAGAGGAUGACCAGCCACACUGGAACUGAGACACGGUCCAGACUCCUACGGGAGGCAGCAGUGGGGAAUAUUGCACAAUGGGCGCAAGCCUGAUGCAGCCAUGCCGCGUGUAAGAAGAAGGCCUUCGGGUUGUAAAGUACUUUCAGCGGGGAGGAAGGGAGUAAAGUUAAUACCUUUGCUCAUUGACGUUACCCGCAGAAGAAGCACCGGCUAACUCCGUG